CCUGGGCAUGGUGGCACAUGCCUGUAAUCCCAGCAGCUUGGGAGGCUGAGGCAGGAGGAUUGCAAGUUCAAAGCCAGCCUCAGCAACAGUGAGAUGCUAAGCAACUCAGUGAGAACCUGUCUCUA
rnacentral:sRNA from 1 species